rnacentral:rRNA from 1 species
UGGGGAAUAUUGCGCAAUGGGGGGAACCCUGACGCAGCCAUGCCGCGUGAAUGAAGAAGGCCUUAGGGUUGUAAAGUUCUUUCGGUAUUGAGGAAGGUUGAUGUGUUAAUAGCACAUCAAAUUGACGUUAAAUACAGAAGAAGCACCGGCUAACUCCGUGCCAGCAGCCGCGGUAAUACGGAGGGUGCGAGCGUCAAUCGGAAUAACUGGGCGUAAAGGGCACGCAGGCGGUUAUUUAAGUGAGGUGUGAAAGCCCCGGGCUUAACCUGGGAAUUGCAUUUCAGACUGGGUAACUAGAGUACUUUAGGGAGGGGUAGAAUUCCACGUGUAGCGGUGAAAUGCGUAGAGAUGUGGAGGAAUACCGAAGGCGAAGGCAGCCCCUUGGGAAUGUACUGACGCUCAUGUGCGAAAGCGUGGGGAGCAAACAGGAUUAGAUACCCUGGUAGUCCACGCUGUAAACGCUGUCGAUUUGGGGGUUGGGGUUUAACUCUGGCGCCCGUAGCUAACGUGAUAAAUCGACCGCCUGGGGAGUACGGCCGCAAGGUUA